GUUAUCUGGAUUCAUUUAAUAAAACACAAUUUAUCAAAUCUCUCUGACCAUCGAUCUCUUUUAAGAUGAUUGAAUUGACGGAAGUGUGUGAUUUUACACACCUUGAAGCGAGUGAGUACAUAUUUUUGUUUUAAAAUAAAAUAAAAUAAAGUCUCCAUCUUGUUCACCCAUUUUUUUAAUUAUUAUUGAAACAAUGUAUUAUUGAUUGGUAUGAAAAGCUCAAUUAAUGUAUAAAUUUGAGUUCAGUCAAACAUCAUAACCAGAUUACAGAAGCAGAAUAGUGUAUUGGACAACAAAGUCGAAUCAAUAGCUUUGCAUUUGCUAUUUUCCAGAUCUGUACGCUUCAAAAUCACGCAUAGGUACCAACAAAAGAGUGUAAUUCACCAUCACCGACAUCAUCCUCUUCCAGAAACAAACCCUCUGUAAAAGUUGCAUGCAAAAAUAUCAACACAAUCCAUACAACAAUUGACACCAACACAUUCAACCAAACAUGAAUACAAUCAUCCCUUAGUUGACUCGAAAGUAGCUGAGAUUUCGGUUGAACCUAUAUGCGAAAUCGCUGACAGAAAUAGGUAUAGGAAGACGAAUGGAUCUAUAACUCUCUCCAUGGACGACGAGGAGCAUACGAGAAGGAGAAGUCAACGGUGGCGGUGCUCGUCGGCCAGAUCGAGGUACGGCAGCGGGUUAUGUUGAUCGUUUUGUGAUGGUUGAAGGAGAAGGAAAGCUUCUCGAGUGCCAUGUGCUAUAUACAUCCUUCAUCUUCUUCAUUAUUUUACUGAUGAAGAUCACCCAGAAAUAAAGGAGAGAAAGAAAUACAGGGGAAAGUCAUAACGACAAAGCUACAAAAGUGAAACCACAUAAUCAAACCUUUACAUGCGAUAACAAUUGUACAAAAAAAUAAAGGAAAUAACCCAAA